rnacentral:rRNA from 1 species
CACGUAGGGCGCAAGCGUUGUCCGGAAUUAUUGGGCGUAAAGGGUGCGUAGGCGGGUCUUUAAGUCAGGGGUGAAAUCCUGGAGCUCAACUCCAGAACUGCCUUUGAUACUGAGGAUCUUGAGUUCGGGAGAGGUGAGUGGAACUCCGAGUGUAGAGGUGAAAUUCGUAGAUAUUCGGAAGAACACCAGUGGCGAAGGCGGCUCACUGGCCCGGUACUGACGCUGAUGUGCGAAAGCGUGGGGAGCAAACAGG